rnacentral:rRNA from 1 species
GCUCGCGUUGACUACGUCCCUGCCCUUUGUACACACCGCCCGUCGCUCCUACCGAUUGAAUGGUCCGGUGAAGUGUUCGGAUCGCGGCGACGGGGGCGGUUCGCCGCCCCCGACGUCGCGAGAAGUCCAUUGAACCUUAUCAUUUAGAGGAAGGAGAAGUCGUAACAAGGUUUCCGUAGGUGAACCUGCGGAAGGAUCAUUG